rnacentral:rRNA from 1 species
CACUCCUGCGGGAGGCAGCAGUGGGGAAUAUUGGACAAUGGGCGCAAGCCUGAUCCAGCCAUGCCGCGUGAGUGAUGAAGGCCCUAGGGUUGUAAAGCUCUUUCACCGGUGAAGAUAAUGACGGUAACCGGAGAAGAAGCCCCGGCUAACUUCGUGCCAGCAGCCGCGGUAAUACGAAGGGGGCUAGCGUUGUUCGGAUUUACUGGGCGUAAAGCGCACGUAGGCGGACUAUCAAGUCAGGGGUGAAAUCCCGGGGCUCAACCCCGGAACUGCCUUUGAUACUGGUAGUCUUGAGUUCGAGAGAGGUGAGUGGAAUUCCGAGUGUAGAGGUGAAAUUCGUAGAUAUUCGGAGGAACACCAGUGGCGAAGGCGGCUCACUGGCUCGAUACUGACGCUGAGGUGCGAAAGCGUGGGGAGCAAACAGGAUUAGAUACCCCUGUAGUCCCAU